rnacentral:lncRNA from 1 species
GCCGGCGCAUGGUGGCGCGUGAAGGGUCCAAAAAUUAAUCUGAAAAUUUGGGGAUGAUCCUGAGGUUGUGUAGGUCACUGUGGUAUAUUCAUAUACCCAUUUUGAGCUAUGUAUGAAAAGUUAUUAGCUAAUUUUGCCUAUGUACUUUAAAAUAACGUUUUUAUAGUUAAUUCGCAUAUAGGUGAGACUUAUCCCGAGGACGAGCGUAUCCAAGGGUGACUCGGGGGCUACGACCCUUCGACUUACCAGUGAGUGGGCUUUUGGUUUUCAGUAUAUAUUUAUAUACUUGAUAUUUUCCCAGAAAUAUGUGUUUAAAUAAUAGUAUGCCAUAAAUGCCAUGCAUAUAAGUUUAUAAUUCAUACAUGAUUUGGUAUGUGAUGCUUUAUAUAUGUCAAUGUGGUG